UUGUACAAUCGAGCAUAGAAAAACCUUUCAGAACAACGCAAAAAGUUGAAAUAUUAGAUGCCAAAAUUUUAGUAGCGAGACUCCCGAUGAGCCUCUUCUCACAAAUAAGUAUGCGUUUAAUAAGUAAUUUAGUACUUGCGUUUUUGGUAGCGAUAAGCGAGUUCGAUCAAAACUUUGCCAUAAACUAUGACAAUGCCGGAAUAGUUCUGAGGGAAAUAAAUAAGAGGAGAGAUCGUCAUGGGGUCCCAAAAUUGGCUUUGGACAACGUGUUCAGCAAAGAGUGCCAAAGUUAUGCUGGGAAACUUUCCAAGUCGACGAAUAUUUCCUAUUCGGACCCCACCAACAAGGAUUACACAGAAAGCAUCUGCAAAUUUGAAGUGAAGAGGGGCGCACUUUCAAGGUGUGUCAAGAACUGGUAUAAUGGUAGAAAAUUCGAUAUUUUAGACCCGAGGGCUAAAGAUUUUACUGCCAUGAUUUGGAGGUCUUCAGUUUCCAUGGGUUAUGGCGACGCUAACAUAAAUGCUCUAGAAGGCGUUUUCGUGGUCAGAUAUACUCCACCUGGGAAUGUGAAAGGAUUAUUCACGGAUAAUGUUCCCCCCAAGAAACGAAGAAAGAAAAGGAAAAAGAAAAAGCAUAAGCAUAAAAAGAAACAUUCCAGAGACUGUGCCAAUCGUCAGGAUAAUCGAUAUGCCAUAUUGUUGUCAAUUCUUUUUUUGGUGUCUACUAUUUGGCAAAUUUAAUGUCUACUAUCUGGCAAACUAGCUAAUCAUAGUCUUAAUAAUAGAACCAAAAAUAACCCUCCUUGCCAAAGAAAAUGAUUAGUUUUUUCUGCUUUGGCACUUCGUAGGCACCGAACGCUCGUACAUGUUCCCUGAUUCGGACCGCAUUGAUGGCGAUAAAUCCACCCGCAUCCUGCGGCACA